UACAACAUAUCAGCUAACAGGGCGGCAGCCAAAUCUCCCGGAAGGGAGGUGAGGCUAUGACAGUAUAUGAAGCAUUAUCCUUGAUGCUCGCAUUCGGCAUGUUUGUGAUUGCCGUGCUGUCUUUCCAUAAACGAAAAUGAGCCGCCCUGGCAAGGAUAACGGCUCAUUUCCAAUGACCUGAAUCUGGCUGCCCGCUCUUUUAGCGGUGGUUGUACAGGGGACCGGCGCCAACCGGUCCU
rnacentral:sRNA from 1 species